CAGCAGCCACGGUAAUACGAAGGGGGCUAGCGUUGCUCGGAAUGACUGGGCGUAAAGGGCGCGUAGGCGGAUGGCACAGUCAGAUGUGAAAUUCCCGGGCUUAACCUGGGGGCUGCAUUUGAUACGUGUUGUCUAGAGUGAGGAAGAGGGUCGUGGAAUUCCCAGUGUAGAGGUGAAAUUCGUAGAUAUUGGGAAGAACACCGGUGGCGAAGGCGGCGACCUGGUCCUUUACUGACGCUGAGGCGCGGAAGCGUGGGGAGCAAACAGGAUUAGAUACCCCAGUAGUCCCUGUCUCUUAUAA
rnacentral:rRNA from 1 species